ACGGCUCAGUAACACGUGGAUAACCUGCCCUUGGGUCCGGCAUAACCCCGGGAAACUGGGGAUAAUUCCGGAUAACGCAUAUGUGCUGGAAUGCUUUAUGCGUAAAAUGGAUUCGUCCGCCCAAGGAUGGGUCUGCGGCCUAUCAGGUAGUAGUGGGUGUAAUGUACCUACUAGCCGACAACGGGUACGGGUUGUGAGAGCAAGAGCCCGGAGAUGGAUUCUGAGACAUGAAUCCAGGCCCUACGGGGCGCAGCAGGCGCGAAAACUUUACAAUGCGGGAAACCGUGAUAAGGGGACACCGAGUGUCAGCAUCAUAUGCUGGCUGUCCAGGUGUGUAAAAUACACCUGUUAGCAAGGGCCGGGCAAGACCGGUGCCAGCCGCCGCGGUAACACCGGCGGCCCGAGUGGUGAUCGUGAUUAUUGGGUCUAAAGGGUCCGUAGCCGGUUUGGUCAGUCCUCCGGGAAAUCUGAUAGCUCAACUAUUAGGCUAUCGGGGGAUACUACCAGACUUGGAACCGGGAGAGGUAAGAGGUACUACAGGGGUAGGAGUGAAAUCUUGUAAUCCCUGUGGGACCACCUGUGGCGAAGGCGUCUUACCAGAACGGGUUCGACGGUGAGGGACGAAAGCUGGGGGCACGAACCGGAUUAGAUACCCGGGUAGUCCCAGCCGUAAACGAUGCUCGCUAGGUGUCAGGCAUGGCGCGACCGUGUCUGGUGCCGCAGGGAAGCCGUGAAGCGAGCCACCUGGGAAGUACGGCCGCAAGGCUGAAACAUUAAAGGAAUUGGCGGGGGGGCCAC
rnacentral:rRNA from 1 species